GUCUACGGCCAUGCCACCCUGAACGAGCCUCAUCCUGUCUGAUCUUGGAAGCUAAGCAAGGUCGGGCCUGGUUAGUACUUGGAUGGGAGACCGUCUUGGAAUACCAGGUGCUAUAGGCA
rnacentral:rRNA from 1 species